GAACCGGGUGGAUCUGCAGGACAGACAGAUGAAGGACGGAGACGUGUCUUUGACUCUGAAGGAUGUGACGAGUGAUGACACUGGAACAUUUCAGUGUUACGUGGUCCAGAGAGGAAUAAAUGGCAGGAAAAGCAUUUUUGAGCAUAUCAGCACCAUCUACCUGAGAGUUGUUCCUCCAGGUCAGCCAGGAGGAGACAGGAAAGGCAAAGGGAACGAGUAUGUAUCCUCUGGACUGGACUUUUGUUUAACAGUUAGUGUUAUACUUGUUACGCUAGCUCUUGCUUUUUUUAUGACCUUCACAAUACCCAAAACACAGGAGAAGAAGAUUUGAUCCAGACCUCAGAUGACUCGACAGGUGAACCUUAACCUUUUAUUUCCAGAAUUAUUUCUAUCAUUAUGUUUUCAUUUAUUAAUUUGAUGAUUACAUUUUUUGGGAAGCAGUGUGUGACACUAUAAAUGUAUGAUCACAUACAUCAUGUUGAAACAGGAUUUCUACAUGAUCUAGUCCUCACUCAUUUUGUUUCUAUACUGUACAUACAGCCUGGUAUAUAUUUAUUUGGGAGACGGUGGAAUAUCUUUGUUUGUCACUGUCAGAUGUUGUGUAUUGUUGUAUGUGUUCAGAGAUAAAGAGAGUUUACAAAGUGAAUAAUAAGCAGGUUAAUCAGUGUUAGUGAAUCUGCUCAGAUAUAUUAUUGAAGCUGCAGAGCAGGAGGAUUUAGUUGUAAGUUACACUGCAUGUAAAAGGGAUCAAUAAAAGGUCAUUAUUGUGUAAUUUUAUACCUAAACAAACAAGGUAACCAGGUGGGUUUAAAGAUCUUAACCUGAGUUAACGUUGUGUUUUUAUGUGACGACAAGAUGACAGUGUGUACAUGGACAAAAAAAGAUGGUGAAAUUCUGUUUAAUAAAUUGAUGAGGAAGAGUUUGCAGACUGAACACAACUUAUGUCUCCUGCUCGUGUUUUUCUGUAUAAAACAGGCCCAUCUGAAGGCCUGCAACAGCUACAACGAGCUCUCAUGUUCCGUUUCUCAUGAAAACACUGCAAAAUGUCGACAUUUGGGACUUAUAGAAAAUCCCAUUCUAAUUUAUCUAAGAUCCUUCUCAUUAGAGUCAGUCUAACUCUGUAAACACCCUCAUUACUAACACAACCCACAUACUCAUAAAAAACCACUCUUGCAGAAAAAGUAUGAAAAACAUUCUGUGCUUAGGAAACAGCAGAAACGAACAGGGUCUGUGUGUGUUAACUAUAAAGUUUGGAAAUAAAGAGUAACAAACAGUU